AUGAGGUUCUUGUGUUGGAACUGUCGCGGCCUAGGGACGGACGCGACAGUUGGCGAGCUGAAAUGGCUCGUUAAUAAAUAUCGUCCCUCCCUCCUCUUUCUAUCCGAGACGAAGAUGAGGGACUCAAGAGCUCGGAGCCUAAUGUGGACGUUGGGUUUUUCGGGAGCUUUUGCAGUUAGCAGUGAUGGAUUGAGUGGGGGUUUGGCCCUUUAUUGGUCUGCCUCUAUCUCAGUGUCUCUAAAAGCUUACUCCAUGCAACUGAUGGAUAUUAGAGUCAAAACAGAAAAUGGAGUUGAAUGGCGUACAACAUUGGUAUAUGGAGAACCAAAGAAAGAAUUGAGGCACAUAUUCUGCGAUAGACUCAGAUUCUUGAAGUCCCAACGGAAUGGACCGUGGAUAUGUGCUGGUGAUUUUAAUGAAGCUUUACAUGGGAAUGAGCACAUGGGCUUUAGAGACAGAGAUGAGAAUCAAAUGGCUCUGUUUAGAGAUUGCCUAGAUGUAUGUGGACUUUUGGACCUUGGGUAUAUUGGCCCUAAAUUUACAUGGUCUAACCGACAACAUGGUGGGAUGAAUAUAAGAGUUAGACUAGAUCGAGCUUUGGCAAACGUGAAUCAUUCUUUCAGAUUUGAAGCUGCAUGGAUGAAGGCUCCGGAUUAUAAUCAAAUGAUAGAGGAAAACUGGAAAUUUCUGAAAGAUGGUGCUCCUUUUUCCCUAAACAACACAUGGUCUGCACUUAAUAAAUUAUCUAAAUCUAUCCAUACCUGGAGCAGGACAUCAUUUGUGUUAAGCCUCAUGCACUAG
rnacentral:rRNA from 1 species